rnacentral:rRNA from 1 species
CUGGCGGCGUGCCUAACACAUGCAAGUCGAACGGAAACCAGACGCUCGGAGACUUCGGUCAAUGUUUGUUGGUUUAGUGGCGGACGGGUGAGUAACGCGUGGAUAACCUGCCAUAUACAGGGGGAUAACAGUUAGAAAUGACUGCUAAUACCGCAUAAGCGCACAGUCUCGCAUGGGACAGUGUGAAAAACUCCGGUGGUAUAUGGAUGGAUCCGCGUCUGAUUAGCCAGUUGGCGGGGUAACGGCCCACCAAAGCGACGAUCAGUAGCCGGCCUGAGAGGGUGAACGGCCACAUUGGGACUGAGACACGGCCCAAACUCCUACGGGAGGCAGCAGUGGGGGAUAUUGCACAAGUGGGGGAAACCCUGAUGCAGCCGACGCCGCGUGAGUGAAGAAGUAUUUCGGUAUGUAAAGCUCUAUCAGCAGGGAAGAUAAUGACGGUACCUGACUAAGAAGCACCGGCUAAAUACGUGCCAGCCGCCGC